UACGUAGGGUGCGAGCGUUAAUCGGAAUUACUGGGCGUAAAGCGUGCGCAGGCGGUUUUGUAAGACAGGCGUGAAAUCCCCGGGCUCAACCUGGGAAUGGCGCUUGUGACUGCAAAGCUGGAGUGCGGCAGAGGGGAGUGGAAUUCCGCGUGUAGCAGUGAAAUGCGUAGAUAUAUGGAGGAACACCGGUGGCGAAGGCGGCUGCCUGGCCUGUAACUGACGCUGAGGCGCGAAAGCGUGGGGAGCAAAUAGG
rnacentral:rRNA from 1 species